CAACCCUACUGAAUACAUUUUUUUUCCGCAAAGUUUGUCAUUGUCCAGGUAGUCCAGGUAAUGCUUUGUCGAAAAAAUAACGAGCAGUAAAGAACCGCCGUGGUUCCAGUGCCUAACGCGACGCCGAAUGCUGCAGGAAUUGCUACGAAUAAAGGCGAAAGUUGCAUAACACGUCGCCUGGUCGUCGCGGUCGCAAUUUCCAGAAAACCACGCACGCACACAAACACACGCGCACGCGAGCGGAAAGUGAAGUGUGAAAAGCGUGGAAUUCUCCAACAACCAGCCGAUGUGAAGCCCCUGCAGCCCAGCAUUUAGCUACAGGACAACGAAUGUGCAUUCCGUGUGCGGCGUAGCCAAUGUGCUGUGAUCCCCCCAAAAAAUCCCGUCCGCACCCCGCAUCCAAAAUCCGCAUCCCACACACACACACACACAUACAAACACAACCACAACCACAACCGUCGCCGUCGCCGCUCACCAAUACAACCACAAUAGCAGUACGGCCCACAAAGAGCUCUCCGCUCCGUACGCUGCUUCCUCUUUGUACAGUUCCUACGACAAGCAAGCAGCAGUGAAGCAGCUGAAUCAGCAGCCUUCCGCGGAUUUUUGAGGCGCAGUAAACAAGAGGCUUGCAUGUGAACCAAAAAUCAGGAAAACCUAACCCACAACAGCCCAGCAGCCCACCCAACAGACGAGCCUCAUGGCCACGCCAAUGUCCGUUGCCUCGGCUCCCGGGUUGGGGGCGGGCGGCAACAGUGGCAGCAGCAGCAGUACUGGCAGCGGCAGCUCCUCAGGUGCUAGCACAUCAUCCGGUGCCUCCACCGCCGUCACCGCCUCGUCCGGUAGCAACAACAACAACAACAACCUGCCGUUCGAAAAGGAUAAAAUCUGGUACUUCAGUAACGAGCAGUUGGUGAACUCUCCAAGCAGAAGAUGCGGAAUUAAGAGCGACGAUGAACUGCAAUACCGCCAGAUGACCGCCUAUCUGAUCCAGGAGAUGGGACAACGACUGCAAGUGUCACAGCUGUGCAUCAAUACGGCGAUCGUGUAUAUGCAUCGGUUCUAUGCAUUUCACUCAUUCACCCAAUUCCAUCGGAACUCAAUGGCAUCCGCCAGCCUGUUUCUAGCUGCGAAGGUGGAGGAGCAACCCAGGAAGCUGGAGCAUGUGAUUCGGGCAGCCAACAAGUGCCUGCCGCCAUCAACCGAACAGAACUAUGCUGAUCUCGCCCAGGAGCUGGUAUUCAAUGAGAAUGUAUUGCUGCAGACGCUCGGAUUUGAUGUGGCCAUCGACCAUCCGCACACGCACGUGGUGCGCACCUGCCAGCUGGUCAAAGCAUGCAAGGAUCUGGCGCAGACCUCGUACUUCUUGGCCUCGAACAGCCUGCAUCUGACCUCGAUGUGCCUCCAGUACCGACCCACUGUGGUGGCCUGCUUUUGCAUUUAUUUGGCCUGCAAGUGGUCCCGCUGGGAGAUCCCCCAAUCGACCGAGGGCAAGCACUGGUUCUACUAUGUCGAUAAGAGCGUCUCCCUGGACCUCCUGAAGCAGCUAACGGACGAGUUCAUUGCCAUCUACGAGAAGAGUCCCGCCCGCCUCAAGUCCAAGCUAAACUCCAUUAAGGCCAUCGCCCAGGGUGCCAGCAAUCGUACUGCCGCCAACAAGGACAACAAGCCCAAGGAGGACUGGAAGAUGAGCGAGAUGAUCAAGGGAUACCAUUCGAACAUCACCCCACCGCCAGAGCUACUAAAUGGCAACGAUAACCGGGAACGGGAACGAGACCGGGAUCGGGACAGGGAGCGGGAGCGAGAGCGUGAGAGGGCGGAUCCGUCGCUGUUGCCGCCGCCGUCGAUGGUGCCGCAGCAACGGCGUCCGGAUGGCAGCCACCAGCGGUCGUCCGGUGUGAGCGGAGUGCCGGGUAGCGGCUCCUCCUCGUCAUCCUCCUCGUCGUCCUCCAAUCACAAGUUGCCAAACUAUCCGGGCGGCAUGCCGUCCGAGGCGCAUCCAGAUUACAAGUCCAAGCAGCCGGGCUACAGCAAUCGCAUGCCCUCCAGUCACCAGCGCAGCAGUAGCAGUAGUAUGGGCUCGUCGGGCAGUAGCGGCAGUGGCCAGCGAAGCAGUUCAUCCUCGUCGUCGGGCAGUCAGCCAGGACGUCCGUCGAUGCCAGUUGACUAUCACAAAUCGUCACGCGGCAUGCCGCCGGUGGGCGUGGGUAUUCCUCCACCCCAUGGCAGUCAUAAAAUGCCGCCAGGCUCCAAGCCACCAUUGCCGUCGCACCAACAACAGCCACCGCCAACACAUCCUUCCGCCUCGAGCUCGUCAGUGUCCUCCAAGGAUAAGUCGCAGAGCAGUAAGAUGUACCCAAAUGCUCCGCCCCCGUACAGUAGUAGUGCUCCCCCGAAUCCGUCAAUGUCGCGCGGUGGCUAUCCGGGUUCUAGUAACGGAUCCCAGCCAGCACCAUCGGCCGGCUAUGGCGGCCAUCGCAGCAAAUCCGGCUCCACCGUCCACGGCAUGCCGCCCUUUGAGCAGCAGAUGCCCUAUUCCCAGAGCCAAAGCUACGGCCACAUGCAGCAGCAGCAGCAGGCGCAGCAGUCACAGCUUCCGGCGCUUGAUGCGCCUGCCCCGCAGUCGGCACAAUCGCAGUCUAAGAUGUCGCUGUUUAGUCCCGAGUGGUCCGACAUGAAGAAGGAGCCGCUGGCCCAGCCGCCGCCCUUCAACGGACUGCUGCCGCCGCCGGUGCCGCAGGGCCAUGACUACAAGCUGAACAAUCAUCCCCGCGACAAGGAGAGCCCCAAGAAGGAGCGUCUCACGCCCACCAAGAAGGAUAAGCACCGUCCGACUGGCAUGCCCCUGGGAAGCAGCAGCAGCAGCAGCUCCAGCAGUAGUGGCAUCGGUAGCAGUAGUUCCUCCGCUUCUGGAUCGGCCAAGCCAAUGAUGCCGCCUCACAAGAAGCCCCUGCCACAUGGCAGCGACCUGCUGGGUAAUGCCGGUGGCGACGGUGGCAGCUUGAAGCGAGCCAACGACAUCUCCGGCAGCCAGUAUGGUCUGAACAAGCUGGACGACAUGGAUGGCAGUUUGCCGCGCGAGAAGCUGCGCAAGCUGGACAACAGCACUGGCCUGCCCACAUACCCGAGCUACGAGGAGAAACACCCGCCUUUGAACAUGUCCAAUGGGAUCGAGACCACACCGGAUCUGGUGCGCAGCCUGCUGAAGGAGAGCCUCUGUCCGUCGAAUGCCUCGCUCCUGAAACCAGACCCCCUGACCAUGCCGGGUCUGAAGCCACCGGCAGAGCUUCUAGAGCCCAUGCCAACGCUGAAAAAGGAACCGGGCAUUAUUACUCCGCUGAGCAGUGCCGUGCCAAUGGAACUGGAGCUGGGCACGACGAAACUGGCCGGUGACAUGAAGGACGAAACCGGCAGCACCAAGUCCGAGAAGAAGAAAAAGAAGGACAAGCACAAGCACAAGGAGAAGGAUAAGUCGAAGGACAAGUCUGAGAAGGAGGAGCGCAAGAAGCACAAGAAGGAUAAGCAGAAGGAGCGGAGCAGCAGUGCUGGCGGCAGUGGUGGCAGCAAGGAAGGUUCUCUGGCCAACGAACCCCUGAAGCUCACCAUCAAGAAUCCUAAUCCCAAUCCCAACGGAGGUCUGAAGCUGAAGAUCAAGGUGGAGUCCAGUAACUACUCGACGGCUACAGGUAUGCCUGGUGCCGCAGGCUUCGGAGCGCCAUCGGCUACGGCUACUACAUCGUCGUCUGCAGCCGGGGGAGUGGCUCCUCCCCAGGCUAUGGUUCCAGCCUACAAUGCCGCUGGUGGUGGCUAUAGCUCAUCCGGUGGCAGUAGCUCCGGCGGUAGCAGCAAGAAGAAGCACAGCGAUCGAGACCGCAGCGAAAAGGAGAGCAAGAAGAGCAAGUCGCAGAGUCAGGGACAGGAUUAUGCGAAAUACAAUGGAGUUGGCGGCGGAGGAGGUGGAGGAGGAUUCGCUCCCCUCGGUGGUGCUGGCGCCGCAGUGAGCAUGGGUGCUCCACUGGUCACCGCAGCCCCACCAGCUCUACUGAUGGCGCCGGCCAGCACUGCUGCUCCACCGGGCGGACUGGCCCCGCCCCCGUUGCCCGUUUACAGCAAGAAGUAACACGGUGGAGUGGAGUAGGACGGUUGGACCUUUUGAUAUGUGUAUAGAAUAUAGAUACCUAGAAGCUCUGUAAGUCGAUGUUAAGCGCAAAGCUACAGAUAUAAGAUACAGAUACAGAGAGAGACAGACCGGAAGGUGGCAGAGAAUGUGAAUGAUAAUCGCAAAUCGCAAAUGCAAAUGCGCAAAGCAAAAUGGCAACCGGAAACGGAAAUGCAAAACUCAAAAAGCGAAACAAUUUGUACAGCAUUAAUUAAUUUAUAAUUAUAAAACAUAAAACAUAAACUAUAAACAUUUAACAUGCAUACAAACAUACGUACAUAACAAGAAUACAUACAUCAAUACGAAA
rnacentral:misc_RNA from 1 species